AAUUGUGAAAUAUAUACAAUUUUUGAUAUUUUUUCGUUAUUUUUUUCCUGCAUGUGAUACAGUAUUUGAGUUUUUCUCUCAUUUUUUCUCAUAUUUAAAGCACAUGUCAUGAAUAUUGAAAAGAUUUUGUUUUACUGCUUUACUUUUUGCAAUAGAAUAAUCUAAGAUGUCCACUUGCCUAGCAUAUAGAUUCUUACCCAAAAAGCUUUGGUCUUUCAACCUGCCACUAAUUUAUAUCAUGAGACUUUUACUCAAUGGCUAUGUCUGAAUCAAGGAAAAAAUGAACAACAAAGGAGCACAGAAGUUGACCUGUAAAGUGUCACAAAAGCACAAAAGAAUCCAGAGACUGAAUUCCUUGUGGAAGAUGCCAUGGAGAUGUCCACGGAGACCGCAUAGUGCUCUAGGAGUUUCUGAGACAACCUGAAUGUGAAGAAUUGAACACUGGGGGGUUGAAUACAUUUGUUUAUAGGUACUUUGUUGUACCAAAGGGUACUGCCCCCUAAAUUGGUUUUGUUUUUGAUUUCCUUUUGUUUCAUCAUCCCCAAGUAUUUUCCCUGUGUAAAAUUUUAUGUACCUUAGUUAAUUAUGUUUAAAAUGGCCCACUGGGGAGACUGGUCUCCCAUAGGAUCACAGGGGAGAAUGUGCAGAUGAAAACUUUGCACCACCUGAGCUACAUUUCCAGCAUCCUUUUAAGUUACAUCCUCAUUUUACAUAAUGAUGCUUAGGAGAUAAAUUUGGCUAAGACCCAUGCUGCCAGGCUCUUUUUUCAGAGCUUGUGCUUUUGGUAAAGUGCUGCAGAUGUGAGUCUCUGUCUCUCUUUGCUAUGCUCACUUGACAAAAAAACAAAACAAAAAAAAAACUUUCUUUUCCCUCUUUUUUAUUAUUAUUAAAAAUCUUACUGUAUAUAUAUAUAUAUAUAUAUAUAUAUAUAUAUAUAUAUAUAUAUCUGUGGUAUAAUUUGAAGAUACAUUUUUCGGGUUCUUCUUUGUUGUGACAAAAAAAGGAAGCCAAAAAUCUUUGUUGGCAGAAAUAAUUUCUGCUUAAGC
rnacentral:lncRNA from 1 species